AUUGAACGCUGGCGGCAUGCCUUACACAUGCAAGUCGAACGGCAGCACGGGUGCUUGCACCUGGUGGCGAGUGGCGAACGGGUGAGUAAUACAUCGGAACAUGUCCUGUAGUGGGGGAUAGCCCGGCGAAAGCCGGAUUAAUACCGCAUACGAUCUACGGAUGAAAGCGGGGGACCUUCGGGCCUCGCGCUAUAGGGUUGGCCGAUGGCUGAUUAGCUAGUUGGUGGGGUAAAGGCCUACCAAGGCGACGAUCAGUAGCUGGUCUGAGAGGACGACCAGCCACACUGGGACUGAGACACGGCCCAGACUCCUACGGGAGGCAGCAGUGGGGAAUUUUGGACAAUGGGCGAAAGCCUGAUCCAGCAAUGCCGCGUGUGUGAAGAAGGCCUUCGGGUUGUAAAGCACUUUUGUCUGGAAAGAAAUCCUUGGUCCUAAUACGGUCGGGGGAUGACGGUACCGGAAGAAUAAGCACCGGCUAACUACGUG
rnacentral:rRNA from 1 species